rnacentral:lncRNA from 1 species
ACAUGGAUGUGUGUGGACCUAUGCCUGAACCUUAGUGGUUCGCGUUACGUGACAACUCUGCUUGACGACCAUACUGGUCUUUCAGCUGUUGCGUUUACAGCGACCAAGGAGGAGGUCUACCAGAAGAUGGUGGUAAUGAUAGCGGGACUGGAGCACGCUACUGGCAGGCAGGUUAAGGAGGUGUUGAGGAAACGGUCCUCUCCCAACUCGUGUGGUUGUCGACCAGGGGAUUUGACCCCGGGUCUGCGCCUGACUAUUGGGGAAGACUUACCCCAGAACCUUAUGGGGCUACCAAUGCAUAUCCGGUAGGUAAGUGAUAGACAUUAGGGCACCGUCUGGACGGCGCAGUGAGAUCGCGGAAUGUACGUGCAGUUAGAUCGCGGAAUGUACGAGUUUUCCGCUAGCGCCGGUAUUUAGGGCGGUGACUGCGCCUAUUAGUUUAUCUCACAACGAUCGGUAUUCCUACCAGGAAUCUCCUCAAGUCCUGCCGAACGCUAACAAUACUCUUUACAUUACUUGUAACAAUUUAUCGUGCUAAAUAUCUUCGCCACCGGCAAUCCUUCCGGAAUAACAAUUAGCGUUAGCUGUCACCGUCGCCAAUUCUUCAAUAGGUUAUGAGCCCCGAUUAGCGCCGACAGUUAUCGCCCAAUUGUUAUUUCUAUCCCUCAUCAACAAUGGUUAAGGACAAGCUUGAUGAGUCGCUGGAUCUCAACAACUACUCUACCUGGCAAAUUGGGUUCAGCGCGUUGUGCAUGGAGCUUGGGCUUGAGCAAUCCCUGCUCGCCGAGCCGUGCAUCGAGGAGCAAAUUCGACAGUCACGGAAGGUCAUCAAUCUGCU